UUAUAUAACAAUUCUGUUAGAUGAAGAAAUUGAGAACUUAGGAGUUGUAGCAUCUUGUCCAUGGUCACACAGGUUUCAAAUCCAGGUCUCAUCUGAUUCAAGUGCUAUUUUCAUUACACCACUCUGCCUAUUUCUUAGAGACUUUAUUAAAUCUUUAUGAUUUCAUUGGUCAAAAUUAGAAACGCCAGUUGUCUCCAUCCCUUAAUGCAUUUCUAUUUUAAGUAAUUUUACCACUAUAUGCCUGCACUCUCAUGUUUGAAACCUCCAAUUUUCAACCAGUUAAUAUUACGGUGAUCAAGAAUUAGUCCACCAAGAGAUUGUGUGCCAGUUGUCCUUGGACCAUUCCAGCAUGUAAACAGAUGAACAUGUCUCUGCAAAGGAACAAAGAUCCAGACAGUUAUAGGACAAAGAGAAAAGUAGCACCAUCUGAAAAUAAACAAGCCUGGAUUUUAAAACCAAAAGAUAUCUUGACUUGGUGAAUACAGGGCCAGCUUCAGAGUCAGGAAAAUCCAAUUUUAAGUCCUGUACACAUGAAGAAACUAAAGGAACAAAGUGUGUGUGUGUGUGUGUGUGUGUGUGUGUGUGUUUAGAGGUGGGAGUUAUUGAUGUACCCAAAGUCACAGCCUUCAAACAAAGAUCUUCUGAUAUCAGACAUCACUCCUUAGAAAACAUCGAGAUCAAUUCUGUCACCUAAAGCUGAUGGAUCUGAGGCCCACUGUCUCCUGGGAAGUCGAGGGGUAAAGUAGGUAUUCAGCCCAAGGUCAUCUUUCUCCAAAUACUGUAUUCUUUUCACUUCAACAACCUUACAAAUGAGAACAUUUUGUCUAUUGUCUAUUUAGUGAUAAAACAUGGAAAUACUUUUCUAAACAUGUAUAAAUUAAUGAAUGAUAUUAAUAAAAUGGAAUUAUAUAGUAAGAUAAAGCCA
rnacentral:lncRNA from 1 species